GACGAACGCUGGCGGCGUGCCUAACCAUGCAAGUCGAGCGGGUUGAAGCGAGGGGUAACUCGGACUUCUACCUAGCGGCGGACGGGUGAGUAACGCGUGGGCAACCUGCCUCAAGGUUUGGGAUAACAGCUCGAAAGGGCUGCUAAUACCGGAUAUGCCUGUGGCCUCGCAUGGGGCUAUGAGCAAAGGGGAAACCCGCCUUGAGAUGGGCCCGCGUCCCAUCAGCUAGUUGGUGAGGUGAAGGCUCACCAAGGCGACGACGGGUAGCCGGCCUGAGAGGGUGACCGGCCACACUGGGACUGAGACACGGCCCAGACUCCUACGGGGGGCAGCAGUGGGGGAUCUUGCACAAUGGGCGAAAGCCUGAUGCAGCGACGCCGCGUGAGCGAAGAAGGCCUUCGGGUUGUAAAGCUCUGUCUGGAGGGACGAAACAAAUGACGGUACCUCCGGAGGAAGCCACGGCUAACUACGUG
rnacentral:rRNA from 1 species